GUUGUUUGUACGAAAGCAUUGCGCAAGCCUUGUUUAUUUUAUAGUAGAUAUGGCUAAAGUAAACGGAUUUUUUUACUCAAAACUCGUACUUUAAACAUCCACACUUUUUUGAGAAUUGUUUUAUAAGGGGGUGUAGAGCCAGAGAGGCGUCUGUUAAAAAAUUAUGGUUUGACAGGGUAUCUAUUAGAUACAGGGCAUUAUUGGAAAUUGAGCAUUUAUCAGAUCAUUUACGGAAUAUCAUGGCCUGGAUGAUUAUCAACUUCAUACCUACGAAGUUUAUUCAAUGACGACCAAAUAUUUGAAUUACAUACACAUACUACAAUAGUCAUCAAUUCUAACUUUCUAGGGUUGACAGCGGACAAAGUAACAAAUUACCAUAAAAUGGUAAAUAGAUUCAAUUGCAGUUCCUGCCGGAUUUUUUCCAUAUCCUGUUCCGCC